rnacentral:rRNA from 1 species
UGCGUAGGCGGUUUGUUGAGUUCGAUGUGAAAGCCCUGGGCUCAACCUGGGAAUGGCAUCGAAGACUGGCAGACUGGAGUGCGGUAGAGGAUGGUGGAAUUCCCGGUGUAGCGGUGAAAUGCGUAGAGAUCGGGAGGAACACCAGUGGCGAAGGCGGCCAUCUGGACCAGCACUGACGCUGAGGCACGAAAGCUGGGGAGCAAACA